rnacentral:misc_RNA from 1 species
GAUGAAGAACGCAGCGAAAUGCGAUACUUGGUGUGAAUUGCAGAAUCCCGUGAACCAUCGAGUCUUUGAACGCAAGUUGCGCCCGAAGCCAUUAGGCCGAGGGCACGCCUGCCUGGGCGUCACACGUCGUUGCCCCCCCAUCUACUCCUUCGGGAUUGCGGGGGGCGGAUGAUGGCCUCCCGUGCGCCUCGCCGCGCGGUUGGCAUAAAUGCCAAGUCCUCGGCGACGCACGCCACGACAAUCGGUGGUUGCGAAACCUCGGUUGCCCGUCGUGUGCGGUCGUCGCGCAUCGAGGGCUCGAAAAAAUUGCUGGGUUCCGGCUCGGCUUUCAACGCGACCCCAGGUCAGGCGGGGUUACCCGCUGAAUUUAAGCAUAUCAAUAAGCGGAGGA